rnacentral:rRNA from 1 species
GACGAACGCUGGCGGCGCGCUUAACACAUGCAAGUCGAACGGAAAGGCCUGCUUUCCCUUGUGGAUUGCGGGUACUCGAGUGGCGAACGGGUGAGUAACACGUGAGUGAUCUGCCCCCAACUUGGGUAUAAGCCUGGGAAACUGGGUCUAAUUCCCGAUAGGACUGCAGGGUGGUGCCUGUGGUGGAAAACGAUUUUCUAGUGGUUGGGGAUGAGCUCGCGGCCUAUCAGCUUGUUGGUGGGGUAAUGGCCUACCAAGGCGGCGACGGGUAGCCGGCCUGGGAGGGUGGACGGCAGCAUUGGGACUGGGUUACGGCCCAGACGCCUACGGGAGGCAGCAGUGGGGAAUAAAGCACAAUGGGCGGAAGCCUGAUGCAGCGACGCCGCGUGGGGGAUGACGGCCUUCGGGUUGUAAACUCCUUUCGACCGCGAGGAAGCCACCUGGUUGGAAGGGUGGUGACGGUAGUGGUAGAAGAAGCACCGGCUAACUACGUG